GUGGGUAUAUUUUACUGGCUGAAUUGUUGCUUUGCGAGCAAUAGGACUUGGGUUCGAGACCCGGUGCCCACA
rnacentral:tRNA from 1 species